UAACCGUUUCUGCGUAAAUUUUUUCUCGUUUUUCCGGAAGUUUUCCGCGAUUAUUAAGAAAACUACCACGUUGCAAGGAAAAUAAAAAAUUACUUCUCGCUGCACCAUGUAGAAAAAAAUUGUCCAUCUGAAACGACCUAUAAAAUUGACGAUCGGACCAAGAUUUCUGGUAGACCAAAAUGGUUCAGACAGCAAAAUAAAAUAAAUUAAAAGCGCACAUCAUAGU